CAUUUAAAGACCAGGGAGCUUUUUAAAAGCCUCAUAAGGAAGGGCAGUGAUUGGUAGAUGGGUAAUAAUAAUAACAGAUCAGACAUUGAAUAUAUAUUUAAGCAUGGUUAAGAUAAUAAUUGUGCUGUGGAUGAUAUAUUAAACCAGACUAAAUCGUCAUUCUGAACUGAGCUGCAUGGCAGGAAGGAAACUGUUUCGGGAUGUGAUUUUAAAACAGCUACAGAGUUCAAUGGCUGUGAUCUGAGGAUGUAUCAACAACAUUGUAGUGACUCUACAAUAAUGACUUAAAUGACAGAGUGAAAAUAACAAUUUAAAUAUACAGAAUAAAAAAAAAAAAUCCUAAACAUGUAUAUGCAUUAAGGCACUAAAGUAAUACUGCAAAACAAAACACAACAAAUGAAUAGAUCACUGAGUUAACUGCCUCCUGAUUUUCAAGCAUGGUGCUGGCUCCAGCAUGGUAAAUGAGUUUUUCAGGAUGAAAAUCUAGGAUGAAAUCCUACAGGAGAACCAGUUUGCCUGCUUUACACCAGAUACUGGGAGGGGAAUUCACCUUUCAGCAGGACAAUAAGCCAAAUCAGCACUGGAGUUGCUUACCAAGAAGAACUGUAUGUUCCUGAGUGGUCAAGUUAGUUUUGACCUAAAUCUGCUUGAAAAUCUAUGGCAAGACUUGAAAAUUGCUGUCUAGCCAUGAUCCCCAGCACCUUGACAGAACUUGAAGAAUUUUGAAAAAAAUAAUGGGCAAAUAUUGUCCAAUACAGGUGUGCAAAGCUCUUAUGAGUUUCUAACGUGGGGGUGAAUACCUAUCUAAUGAAGGUAUAUUAGUGUUAACAUUUUCAUAAAUUCACUUUUUUUUAAAGAUUCCUCUUCCACUUUGACAUUGGAGUAUUUUGUGUUGAUCGUUGACCAUAAAAGGACAAAUCCAUUUCAAUCCCACUUUGUCACACAACAUGUGAAGAAAUCCAAGGGGGGUGUAGACUUUAUAAGUAUGCCCCAAUUACAACUGAAGUCUAUUACAGCCACAAUACGAUUUCAACAGAUUUUUGCUUUAUUUUGUCAAAUGAACAAAUUGUCUUUUAAGAUUAUAUAACAACAUUUAGAACUUGUUUAACAUGAUCUAGUCCAAAUAUGGCCUGAGUCCUCAAUUUGUAUCCGUUUGCACCGCUUUCAAUGGGGGACUUUUAUUUUGAAGGCUGCCCGCAAAUUCCACUAUUGUGGCUAAUCCUUAUUGUGGCCAGCUUCACAUAGGUAGCCACUGCUUGGCUAGCUAUACAAAUAUAUUUCUAUUUUUACAAACAUUCUAAGUCAUCUCUGCUAUUUACUAGCUGGGACUGGUAACUAACUUAAUGCUGGCUAUGUUGUGAUCACAUUAGUUAGCUGAGGUGCUAUUGUCAUCAUUGUUAGUUAGCUAGCUAGUUAGCCACAAUUAGUUUAGCUCGUAUUAUUCGGGAUCAUCGUGACAUUAGCUUGCGAGCAGCUGUGAAGAGUUAGAAUGCGAAGGGGAACUGCUUUUUAGUUUCGUAUUCACUGAAUGUAUAACUAGCAUUUAUGUGAAUAUUUACAGCUUGUUUGGCUCUCCUGAAUUAACCAAGUGAAUUAAUAUCUAACUCGACUCCCUUCGUCAUGUCACAUUAUGAAUGGUGAGUAAUCUGGGCUGGAUGUCUCUGCAUUGGUGAUGGCAGCACGUCCACAGUCUUAUGAUAGCAACUCAAGUGACACUGAGAAUUGGGAACGAAAAACAACCGACCUCGCAAACUCUGCAAGCACUCGAGCGCUCAGUCCCGUGCAUCUCGACUAGAAGCAGACCUGGUGAAGAUGAGCCUGCAUGGUGCUAGUGGGGGCAGUGACCGCUCACGCGACCGCCGCCGCUCCAGUGACCGUCGCCGCUCCAGCGACCGCUCCCGGGACUCGUCGCACGAGAGGGGAGAGGGCCAGCUCACCCCCUGCAUCAGAAAUGUCACCUCGCCCACCCGCCAGCACAACAGUGACCGUGAGAGGGACGGUGGCUCCAGGCCCAGCAGCCCCCGUCCUCAGAGGAUUUCCCCCAGCAGCUCCAGUAGUAGCGGGGUGGUCAGCAGCCGUAACAGCAGCCUGUCCAGCACUGAGGGCUGCUUUAAGAGCCUGGGAGUGGGAGAUAUGGUGUUUGUCUAUGAGAAUAGCAAGGAGGGACUGGGCACGGGCCUGGGUACCCGCAGCAUCCGGACCUCCGGCUCCGAGAGGGUCACUCUUAUAGUAGAUAACACACGGUUCGUGGUGGACCCUUCAAUCUUCACAGCACAGCCCAACACCAUGCUGGGCAGAAUGUUUGGAUCUGGAAGGGAACACAAUUUCACACGGCCCAAUGAAAAAGGAGAGUAUGAAGUCGCCGAGGGCAUCAGCUCUACGGUGUUCCGAGCCAUCCUGGAUUACUACAAAUCUGGGAUAAUCCGUUGCCCUGAUGGAAUCUCCAUCCCUGAGCUGAGAGAGGCAUGUGACUAUCUGUGCAUCACCUUUGACUACAGCACCAUCAAGUGCAGAGACCUCAGUGCCCUCAUGCAUGAGCUGUCUAACGACGGUGCCCGGCGUCAGUUUGAGUUCUACCUGGAGGAAAUGGUUGUGUCUCUGAUGGUGGCCAGUGCCCAGAGCGGAGAGCGAGAAUGCCACAUCGUGGUGCUCACUGAUGACGACGUAGUGGACUGGGACGAAGAGUACCCACCACAGAUGGGAGAAGAGUAUUCACAGAUAAUAUACAGUACAAAACUAUACCGGUUCUUCAAGUAUAUAGAAAAUCGAGAUGUUGCCAAAUCAGUUUUAAAGGAGAGAGGACUGAAGAAAAUAAGAUUAGGCAUUGAAGGUUACCCCACAUAUAAAGAGAAGGUGAAGAAGCGUCCUGGUGGCCGUCCUGAGGUCAUCUACAACUACGUUCAGAGGCCUUUCAUCCGCAUGUCCUGGGAGAAGGAGGAGGGCAAGAGCCGCCAUGUUGACUUCCAGUGUGUCAAAAGCAAGUCCAUCACUAACCUGGCUGCAGCUGCUGCAGAUAUCCCCCAGGACCAGCUGGUCAACAUGCACCCUGGCCCUCAGGUGGAUGAGCUGGACAACCUCCCCAACCAGCCCACUAGCGGAGCCCAGUACAGCAACAACUACAACAACGACCCCGGUGACCCAGACGGCCCCUCGCCCGCAGUCUGAGGACUGCCCCCUCCCUGACAUCUCCCUCCCCAGCGUACCGCAGCAUGGAGCUAGGAGGGGCAUCAUAACCAUAUUGCCUUGGCACCUCCUCCGCAGCCUUAGAGCCUCAAGGAUCUGGUCGACUGUAAAAACCCUAUAAGGGACUAGACUGGCAAAAGGGCAUAUUUCUCUUAUUUCUUAAAAUAAAAUACUUGACCAAAGGAAUUUAUUUUUCUGUUAAUUGUUUGAAAUAAAUUUAGCAAACCCAAUUAUUUUGUAAUUAUAUAUUGUUAUUGUACAAUGGUUAUUGGGCUGUGCACUGGUGUUACUGUGCUCUCCUCCUGAGUUUUAUUUCCAUGUGCAGUUCUGGGCAUACUUCCUAGAUGGCAAGACUAGUGAAUACUGUAACUGUUCGGGGAAUGGGUACAGAGCGGGAUGCCUGGCCAUGGAGAAAACCUCUGAUUUCGUCACCAUUCAGUGGAAAUUACUGUUGAAUUCCCCUCAGAUAUACUUUGAAUCAUGUAAGGGUUGGUUGACAUCAUAGAAUUGGUAAUGUGAUGCUGUGCUCUGCUCCCUAAAUAUUCAGCAUGAUAUAAAGACAUUCAAAUCACA